rnacentral:piRNA from 1 species
UGCAAUACAAAAUGUUCUAAAAAGAAAAUA